rnacentral:rRNA from 1 species
UAUUAAAGGCAACGCCUGCCCAGUGAACAAUUAAACGGCCGCGGUACCCUAACCGUGCAAAGGUAGCAUAAUCAUUUGUCUACUAAUUAUAGACCUGUAUGAAAGGCAAAAUGAGGGCCCAACUGUCUCUUAUAAUAAAUCAAUUAAACUGAUCUCCUAGUAAAAAAGCUAGAAUACCAACAUAAGACCAGAAGACCCUGUGAAGCUUAAACUAAACUAUUAAAUCAAAUAAUAGCUACUUUCGGUUGGGGCGACCUUGGAAAAAAAAAGAACUUCCAACCAUAUCUUUUAAGAAUUAAUAGGCUAACAAGCCAACUAACGACCCAGCACAGCUGAUAAACGAAACAAGUUACUCCAGGGAUAACAGCGCAAUCUUCUUCAAGAGCCCAUAUCAAAAAGAAGGUUUACGACCUCGAUGUUGGAUCAGGACAUCCUAAUGGUGCAGCCGCUAUUAAGGGUUCGUUUGUUCAACAAUU